GGAGCUAAUACCGGAUAGUUCCUUGAACCGCAUGGUUCAAGGAUGAAAGACGGUUUCGGCUGUCACUUACAGAUGGACCCGCGGCGCAUUAGCUAGUUGGUGGGGUAAUGGCUCACCAAGGCGACGAUGCGUAGCCGACCUGAGAGGGUGAUCGGCCACACUGGGACUGAGACACGGCCCAGACUCCUACGGGAGGCAGCAGUAGGGAAUCUUCCGCAAUGGACGAAAGUCUGACGGAGCAACGCCGCGUGAGUGAUGAAGGUUUUCGGAUCGUAAAGCUCUGUUGUUAGGGAAGAACAAGUGCGAGAGUAACUGCUCGCACCUUGACGGUACCUAACCAGAAAGCCACGGCUAACUACGUGCCAGCAGCCGCGGUAAUACGUAGGUGGCAAGCGUUGUCCGGAAUUAUUGGGCGUAAAGGGCUCGCAGGCGGUUUCUUAAGUCUGAUGUGAAAGCCCCCGGCUCAACCGGGGAGGGUCAUUGGAAACUGGGGAAACUUGAGUGCAGAAGAGGAGAGUGGAAUUCCACGUGUAGCGGUGAAAUGCGUAGAGAUGUGGAGGAACACCAGUGGCGAAGGCGACUCUCUGGUCUGUAACUGAC
rnacentral:rRNA from 1 species